rnacentral:tRNA from 1 species
GGGGAUUUAGCUCAGUUUGGCAGAGCAUCUGAUUUGCACUCAGAAGGUCGUGGGUUCGAACCCCAUAGUCUCCACCA